rnacentral:rRNA from 1 species
GCGUUUCCAAGAACCCGAUAUGAACCCAACGGGAAACCUCAAGUUCAAUUACUGGGGGAGUACGAUUGCAAAUUCGAAACUUAAAGGAAUUGACGGAAGGGCACCACCAGGGGUGGAGCCUGCGGCUUAAUUUGACUCAACACGGGGAAACUCACCCGGCCCGGACACCGGAAGGAUUGACAGAUUGAGAGCUCUUUCUUGAUUCGGUGGGUGGUGGUGCAUGGCCGUUCUUAGUUGGUGGAGUGAUUUGUCUGGUUAAUUCCGAUAACGAACGAGACUCUGGCCUACUAACUAGUCGUCGGAUCGCUUCAGUCCGACUGACUUCUUAGAGGGACAAGCGGUGCUUAGCCGCAUGAAAAAGAGCAAUAACAGGUCUGUGAUGCCCUUAGAUGUCCGGGGCUGCACGCGCGCUACACUGAAGGAAUCAGCGUGUGGGUUUGCCUGGCUCGAAAGAGCUGGGUAAUCCGGUGAAAAUCCUUCGUGAUUGGGAUCGGGACUUGCAAUUAUUUCCCUUGAACGAGGAAUCCCUAGUAAGUACGGGUCAUCAGCUCGUGCUGAUUACGUCCCUGCCCUUUGUACACACCGCCCGUCGCUGCCCGGAACUGAGCCAUUUCGAGAAAAAUGGGGACUGACGGCUUGAGGCCUUCACGGGCUUCUUGCUGACGGAAACCGCUUUAAUCGCAGUGGCUUGAACCGGGCAAAAGUCGUAACAAGGUUUCCGU